rnacentral:rRNA from 1 species
GCCUACGGGACGCAGCAGUGGGGAAUAUUGCCCAAUGGGGGAAACCCUGAUGCAGCGACGCCGCGUGAGUGAAGAAGUAUUUCGGUACGUAAAGCUCUAUCAGCAGGGAAGAAAAUGACGGUACCUGACCAAGAAGCCCCGGCUAACUACGUGCCAGCAGCCGCGGUAAUACGUAGGGGGCAAGCGUUAUCCGGAUUUACUGGGUGUAAAGGGGGCGCAGACGGCAAUGCAAGCCAGGAGUGAAAGCCCGGGGCCCAACCCCGGGACUGCUCUUGGAACUGCAUGGCUGGCGUACAGGAGGGGCG